rnacentral:rRNA from 1 species
GUUGGGUAGGGGAGCGUUCUGUAAGCCGUCGAAGGUGUGCUGUGAGGCAUGCUGGAGGUAUCAGAAGUGCGAAUGCUGACAUAAGUAACGAUAAAGCGGGUGAAAAGCCCGCUCGCCGGAAGACCAAGGGUUCCUGUCCAACGUUAAUCGGGGCAGGGUGAGUCGACCCCUAAGGCGAGGCCGAAAGGCGUAGUCGAUGGGAAACGGGUUAAUAUUCCCGUACUGGGUGUUACUGCGAAGGGGGGACGGAGAAGGCUAUGUUAGCCGGGCGACGGUUGUCCCGGUUUAAGCGUGCAGGCUUGAGUUCCAGGCAAAUCCGGAACUCUUUAAGGCUGAGGCGUGAUGACGAGGCACCACGGUGCUGAAGUAACAAAUGCCCUGCUUCCAGGAAAAGCCUCUAAGCAUCAGGUAACAUCCAAUCGUACCCCAAACCGACACAGGUGGUCAGGUAGAGAAUACCAAGGCGCUUGAGAGAACUCGGGUGAAGGAACUAGGCAAAAUGGUGCCGUAACUUCGGGAGAAGGCACGCUGGCGCGUAGGUGAAGCGACUUGCUCGUGGAGCUGAAGCCAGUCGAAGAUACCAGCUGGCUGCAACUGUUUAUUAAAAACACAGCACUGUGCAAACACGAAAGUGGACGUAUACGGUGUGACGCCUGCCCGGUGCCGGAAGGUUAAUUGAUGGGGUUAUCCGCAAGGAGAAGCUCUUGAUCGAAGCCCCGGUAAACGGCGGCCGUAACUAUAACGGUCCUAAGGUAGCGAAAUUCCUUGUCGGGUAAGUUCCGACCUGCACGAAUGGCGUAAUGAUGGCCAGGCUGUCUCCACCCGAGACUCAGUGAAAUUGAACUCGCUGUGAAGAUGCAGUGUACCCGCGGCAAGACGGAAAGACCCCGUGAACCUUUACUACAGCUUGACACUGAACAUUGAGCCUUGAUGUGUAGGAUAGGUGGGAGGCUUCGAAGCGUGGACGCCAGUCUGCGUGGAGCCAACCUUGAAAUACCACCCUUUAACGUUUGAUGUUCUAACCUGGCGCCGUUACCCGGCGUGGGGACAGUGUCUGGUGGGUAGUUUGACUGGGGCGGUCUCCUCCCAAAGAGUAACGGAGGAGCACGAAGGUCAGCUAAUCACGGUCGGACAUCGUGAGGUUAGUGCAAUGGCAUAAGCUGGCUUGACUGCGAGAGUGACGGCUCGAGCAGGUGCGAAAGCAGGUCAUAGUGAUCCGGUGGUUCUGAAUGGAAGGGCCAUCGCUCAACGGAUAAAAGGUACUCCGGGGAUAACAGGCUGAUACCGCCCAAGAGUUCAUAUCGACGGCGGUGUUUGGCACCUCGAUGUCGGCUCAUCACAUCCUGGGGCUGAAGUAGGUCCCAAGGGUACGGCUGUUCGCCGUUUAAAGUGGUACGCGAGCUGGGUUUAGAACGUCGUGAGACAGUUCGGUCCCUAUCUGCCGUGGGCGCUGGAAGAUUGAGAGGGGUUGCUCCUAGUACGAGAGGACCGGAGUGAACGCACCGCUGGUGUUCGGGUUGUCAUGCCAAUGGCAUUGCCCGGUAGCUAAGUGCGGAAAAGAUAAGCGCUGAAAGCAUCUAAGCGCGAAACUUGCCUCGAGAUGAAUCUUCCCUGACUCCUUGAGAGUCCUGAAGGGACGUUGAAGACGACGACGUUGAUAGGCCGGGUGUGUAAGCGCAGCGAUGCGUUGAGCUAACCGGUACUAAUGACCCGUGAGGCUUAACC